GUGAACGGCCUGUGCUGGCUGCACUUAUGCUGCAAAAACAGGGAGCACUGCUCUGUCCUAAACUCCUUUAGAUACCUAAAAAGACAAACAGCGUUGCGGGCCGCAGCCGCCGCCGGCUGGAGGCCCCUGGGAUGCGGCGGGGCAGGGUCCCAGACGCGAAGCCCCACCCCCACCCCGAGUCCAUCUGACUGCCAAGGACCGGUACCCUCCUUUUUUCAAAGCACUCCGGGUGUCACUCCCCAACUCGGAGGCCAGGUGACUCCAGACAGCCAGACAGACUUUCCGCUCCCUGACCCCAAAUACCACUUCCCAGUCCCCAGAUAAGGAAGGUUCCCCGGACACGAGGCAUAGAACUCCUCCUAGCAGGCCACCCCCAACUCUGAUCCCAGGUUCCAGAUGGACUGCAAGCGCCACCCGCCCACACCAGGCGCAACCCCUCUUCUGCGCCGCAGAAACGACCCCCAGGCUCACAACCCAGGCCGCCGCUGGACUCUAGGUGCGGCUCCGCCCCCAACCCAGAGAUCACCCCAGACCCCGGGCACCGCCUCUCAACCUCAGGCGGCGACUGCCCGAGUCCGGAUGGCCGUGCGCCCACCUCCAGCCCAGGCGCGGCCCUGAGCUACAAACGCAGGCGCUGUUUCCCAGACUCCAGUCUGGCGCGUGGGGUCGCCUGAGACCAGGAGCAAGUCCAGCCCCCAACCCAGGGGUCACAGAAGACCCUGGGCGCUGCCACUCCACCUUAGGCGGCGUCCCGAGCCCUGACGGCGUGACCCACAAGGGCUGGCGGCGGGGGCGCGGGCGGGGCGCACCCUCAGCGGCGACACCCGGGCCCGUGGCGCGCGCGGGCCGCUGCUCUGCGCCGCAGCGCCCAGAAGGCCACGGACCGCAGCCCAGGCACUGACCUGUAGUGGGUUGGUUUCUCGGUCUGCGGGGGGGACCCGCUCAGCGCCGCCGCCGCAGCUUUCGAAACCGACGGCAUUUUCAGUCAAAACAAUGCAGCGCGCAUGCGCCGCGCCGGCGCCCCCGGAUCUCCCCCCCGCUCCGAGCCCCCUGCGCCCCCCGCCGCGCCGGCCACACCCCCAAGCACGCCGCGCCGGCCACGCCCCCGUCGACCCCUCGCCCACGCGCGCUGUACGACGGGGGUGACACACAGCAUCUGCCGGCCCACCACGGCAGCAAGUUACAGGCGUGAAGCGGGACACGCCCGUUGGUGUAGAGUCCCCAUGAGGGCCUCUGGGUCCUGGGCUGUUGUUGGACACAGGUUUCUUUUAGCUGGAAAACGUCUAUAAUUAGACUGUGGGGAUGGUCGCCCCUGUAUUAAAUGUGUAAAUUUAA